CCUUUAGGCUUACACUGUGUGAUAUUCAUAUUUACUAAAUUAACAGGAGACAAGCUUAGGCCUAGCCAUGGAGAGAAAGAUGGAGAUAUACCAGCGCCAUGUUCCCGACAUACGUGUCAGAUAGGCUACUACUGCUAUUCAGAUAUAGGCGUACAGAAGGAUGCUACUUCAUUUAUUUUUGCUCAGAAUAUAUUUUUUAUGAAGAUAAGAUGAUAUUGUUUAACUCUUGCAGGCCUUCUUCCUCACCUCAAGUUCAACUGUCGGAGUCUGCUGGAGUGCCUGUGUGCCUUCAUAGGCCUGCUGUAGCUAAACCUAGUAAUAGCCAAACCUUCACAAAAGUUGAUGAACUUUAUUUGGGUAAUCAAACAUAAGGGUCCUUUUACACUCUUUCUCUUCCUUCUCUUCUUUCUGUCUCUCUCUCUCUUUCUUUCUUUCGCAGGCGUAUGUGAGGUGAGCAGCCAGAACCAGUUUCAGCUGGAUACAAGCUAUAUAUUUUAUUGAGCUUCAAUCGGCUGACACAGCUCGCACAGUUGUCAUGACACAAACACUACAUUAACAGAGGACAGGUUAAUACAUUUUAAUUGCACAUAUCCGAGACCCGUGGCAAUUAUCAGACCUGACCCAGAUACGACCGUGAAGACCUCUACAGUAUAACAUUGUCUUGUUUGUGGUACAGACACUGCAAAGUAAAAACUGGGUCUCCCCAAAUGACAGCUGCACAGUAUUAAUCACUGUGAUUAUUUCAAUAUAGUGUCGGAGAGAGUGACUAUCCACAGCAGAGUGAUGGGACUGUAAUGUAAUAUAUUGUAAUCGGCCAUUUCUCAUCCAAACCAGGACGUAAUGUACUCGCUUUCAGAUGGCCGUCUCAAUCUUCCGCUGUCUGGUUUCCAGCAAUCUAUCACCCCUUCUUUCUUUCAGUCUCUGUCUUGUGUUGUCCUCUUGUCUGUCUCUCUGUCUACCUGACAAGACCGAAUAGGACAGCAGAAGAAGUAGACUCAGACAGAGAGACUUUCUGUCUUUUAAUUCCCUCAGAUCUUGUGGUCCAUUUCCUCUUGUCGCUGUAUCUCUUGGUGACUCUCUGUGACACCACAUGUGUGACCAGGUACCUCUUCUCUCCCAGGUUGAAGAGACCUCCCCUGGGGUACAGUGACACAGUGGCCUUCUCCAUGGAGCACAGCUCCUACCAGUGCUUCAGGAAGAGUGCCAGAUUUGGRAGGCACCUGGUCAACUUCUUCCUGGUGUUGACACAGCUGGGAUUCUGCAGUGCAUACUUUGUGUUCCUGGCAGAGAAUAUCAAACAGGAUGCCGGUGGGCGGAGUUGGGAGAGUCGUCAGCUAC